ACAAAAUGAAGUCCAUUGUCCUAGUUUGUGUCCUUCUGAUUUCAGUUCUUUUCCCCCCAACAGAAGUAGGGGCUCGGCUAUUUGUCGAGAAGUCUCUACUAGAAAUGGCUGUUAAGUCCGUAACCGUUCAUCCUGCUCGUCCAGUUUGUGGCAAAGGAAAUAGACCGUACACGUCUUGCAUCCCUCCUAGAAACAAGCCUCCCAAGUGUAGAUCCAUAUAUGGUUGCAGAUCAUCAACACCUCCCUCCCCUUAAAAUGACUAUUAUGUAGCUUAUGCCUUAUGGUCUCAAUUCACCUAUGAUCAGAUGUAUUGGAGAAGUGGUUGGUUUAAUGAUGUAAGCUAGUUAAGCUGGUAUAUAGUAUGUAUCAGUACAUUGUACAAAGAAUAAAGGAUCAAAAGUAGGUAGAUUUUGUGUUUUAUUUCUCUCCUCUAGAUCUCCUCCCUUUUUGCCUUUCAAAUUAUCAACAACAGUGAAGUUUAUGUAUUACUCCUUGUUAUAUUAAUCCUCUUGGAAGUUUAUUUUUAA